AACCAAAAACAUGACUGUAAAGUCGCACAGUGUGAAGAACCAGGGACAACGCUGGCUGCAAGACUAUGGGGUUAUUUCUUUCGUAAACACAAAUGUGAAGGAAGAACAGGUGAAAAUACAGACUCGGGCUUAGCGGCAAGACUAUGGAGACUCCUGUACUUUAUACCGAAGUACAACUGUUCGCAAGAAACAUUACAGGGAAAAAUAUCUUGGGAUAUUUACAACAUGCGACUACCAGAUGCUGAAGAUAUUAAACCGGCUGUUGACAUAAAACCGGCCGAGGAGAAUGAAGUUGCUGGGAAAAUGAAACAGUCCGACGACAAGGAAACAGAUGGGAAAAUGAAACAGUCCGAAAACAAGGAAACAGAUGGUAAAAUGAAACAGCCCGACGACAAGGAAACAGAUGGUAAAAUGAAACAGUCCGAAAUGAAAGCAGCUAAGAAUUCGACACCGGCCGAGGAAAAAAUCUUUUUAACCAACAAAGCUAACAAGUUGUUCGAAAUGUCUGUCCGGGCCAGAAAAACGAAACUAGCCAAAGUAUUGUGGCGGAGAGUGUCG